rnacentral:rRNA from 1 species
CAGGCCUAACACAUGCAAGUCGAGCGGAAACGAGUUAUCUGAACCUUCGAGGAACGAUAACGGCGUCGAGCGGCGGACGGGUGAGUAAUGCCUAGGAAAUUGCCCUGAUGUGGGGGAUAACCAUUGGAAACGAUGGCUAAUACCGCAUAAUGCCUACGGGCCAAAGAGGGGGACCUUCGGGCCUCUCGCGUCAGGAUAUGCCUAGGUGGGAUUAGCUAGUUGGUGAGGUAAUGGCUCACCAAGGCGACGAUCCCUAGCUGGUCUGAGAGGAUGAUCAGCCACACUGGAACUGAGACACGGUCCAGACUCCUACGGGAGGCAGCAGUGGGGAAUAUUGCACAAUGGGCGCAAGCCUGAUGCAGCCAUGCCGCGUGUGUGAAGAAGGCCUUCGGGUUGUAAAGCACUUUCAGUCGUGAGGAAGGUGGUGUAGUUAAUAGCUGCAUUAUUUGACGUUAGCGACAGAAGAAGCACCGGCUAACUCCGUGCCAGCAGCCGCGGUAAUACGGAGGGUGCGAGCGUUAAUCGGAAUUACUGGGCGUAAAGCGCAUGCAGGUGGUUUGUUAAGUCAGAUGUGAAAGCCCGGGGCUCAACCUCGGAAUAGCAUUUGAAACUGGCAGACUAGAGUACUGUAGAGGGGGGUAGAAUUUCA